rnacentral:rRNA from 1 species
UACGAGUGCCUCAAGCGUUAUCCGGAAUCAUUGGGCGUAAAGGGUAGGUAGGUGGUCUUAUUUGUCUAGGGUGAAAUCCUUGAGCUUAACUCAAGAAGUGCCCUAGAAACGGUAAGACUAGAGUCCUGGAGAGGGUCGUGGAAUUCCCGGUGUAGCGGUGAAAUGCGUAGAGAUCGGGAGGAACACCAGAGGCGAAGGCGGCGACCUGGACAGGUACUGACACUAAACUACGAAAGCGUGGGGAGCAAACAGG